rnacentral:rRNA from 1 species
CAGCAGCCGCGGUAAUACGUAGGGUGCGAGCGUUAAUCGGAAUUACUGGGCGUAAAGCGGGCGCAGACGGUUACUUAAGCAGGAUGUGAAAUCCCCGGGCUCAACCUGGGAACUGCGUUCUGAACUGGGUAACUAGAGUGUGUCAGAGGGAGGUAGAAUUCCACGUGUAGCAGUGAAAUGCGUAGAGAUGUGGAGGAAUACCGAUGGCGAAGGCAGCCUCCUGGGAUAACACUGACGCUCAUGCACGAAAGCGUGGGGAGCAAACAGGACUAGAUACCCCCGUAGUCCCUGUCUCUUAUAA